rnacentral:rRNA from 1 species
UGACGGCCUUCGGGUUGUAAACCUCUUUCAGUAGGGAAGAAGCGAAAGUGACGGUACCUGCAGAAGAAGCGCCGGCUAACUACGUGCCAGCAGCCGCGGUAAUACGUAGGGCGCAAGCGUUAUCCGGAAUUAUUGGGCGUAAAGAGCUCGUAGGCGGUUUGUCGCGUCUGCCGUGAAAGUCCGGGGCUCAACUCCGGAUCUGCGGUGGGUACGGGCAGACUAGAGUGAUGUAGGGGAGACUGGAAUUCCUGGUGUAGCGGUGAAAUGCGCAGAUAUCAGGAGGAACACCGAUGGCGAAGGCAGGUCUCUGGGCAUUAACUGACGCUGAGGAGCGAAAGCAUGGGGAGCGAACAGGAUUAGAUACCCUGGUAGUCCAUGCCGUAAACGUUGGGCACUAGGUGUGGGGGACAUUCCACGUUUUCCGCGCCGUAGCUAACGCAUUAAGUGCCCCGCCUGGGGAGUACGGCCGCAAGGCUAAAACUCAAAGGAAUUGACGGGGGCCCGCACAAGCGGCGGAGCAUGCGGAUUAAUUCGAUGCAACGCGAAGAACCUUACCAAGGCUUGACAUGAACCGGUAACGCCUGGAGACAGGUGCCCCGCUUGCGGUCGGUUUACAGGUGGUGCAUGGUUGUCGUCAGCUCGUGUCGUGAGAUGUUGGGUUAAGUCCCGCAACGAGCGCAACCCUCGUUCUAUGUUGCCAGCACGUGAU